rnacentral:piRNA from 1 species
AACAUUGGCCUAUUAUAAUCUGUGUUG